UCUUCCUUGUUUAUCUUCAGGUGAUCCGGUUCGAUGGAGGAGAAUACGUGUCGAUGGCGGGAGAGUUUAACGAGCUGCGCAGAGUGACUCCAGAUCAGUGGAACAUUAUCGGGAUGAUGACCAGAAGCACUAAAGGAUCCUAAAAACACUCAGACACUCCUCAUUGGACCACAACAACCAAUCAGAUCACAGGGCUCUGGUAGUCCCGCCCACCUGCUGAUGUCAUUGUGAUGAGAGAUGUGAUAUUUGCAGCGAUCGAACUGUGAUUAUUGAUUCUUAUUGUUAGCUGAAGUCAUGUGACUCACUGCACAUGCUCAGUGCGUCUGUUUGAUAAUAAAACAGUGAAGAUUAAACACAAA